rnacentral:rRNA from 1 species
AAGAGACAGCAGUCGCCGCGGGAAUACAGAGGGUGCGAGCGUUAAUCGGAUUUACUGGGCGUAAAGCGUGCGUAGGCGGCUUUUUAAGUCGGAUGUGAAAUCCCUGAGCUUAACUUAGGAAUUGCAUUCGAUACUGGGAAGCUAGAGUAUGGGAGAGGAUGGUAGAAUUCCAGGUGUAGCGGUGAAAUGCGUAGAGAUCUGGAGGAAUACCGAUGGCGAAGGCAGCCAUCUGGCCUAAUACUGACGCUGAGGUACGAAAGCAUGGGGAGCAAACAGGAUUAGAUACCCCUGUAGUCCCUGUCUCUUAUAC